rnacentral:rRNA from 1 species
GACAGAGGGUGCAAACGUUGUUCGGAAUUACUGGGCGUAAAGCGUGCGCAGGUGGUCUUUUAAGUCAGAUGUGAAAUCCCCGGGCUUAACCUGGGGACUGCGUUUGAAACUGGAAGGCUAGAGUGUGGCAGAGGGGGGUGGAAUUCCACGUGUAGCAGUGAAAUGCGUAGAGAUGUGGAGGAACACCGAUGGCGAAGGCAGCCCCCUGGGCUAACACUGACGCUCAUGCACGAAAGCGUGGGGAGCAAACAGG